GAAGUUUGUGAUCCUUCUCUCAUUUACUUGACAGUAAGUCUAAUUGAACUCUUGCAAUGGGAAGAUCUGGAGCCGGGAGCUCGCCCCGAAGCCGCCCUGCGAGGAAGGUGAGGGCCGCCGGCUCGGGGAGCCCCCUUUCCCCCUCCACUCCCACCCCGCGGGAGCCUUUUUUCCUCCUGGACACGCGUCAGGCAGGGCACGUGUGAAGGCGCUCCGCCUGCCCCUGGAAGGGCUGCGCUCUUCGCCCGGGGCUGAGCGACUGCAUCUUCUCCCCUCCCCGCAGGCACCUUCCGCGAAGCCCCCUGGCAGAACUGCGUCCCGUGCGAUCUGUGCGAUGGUAAGAGGGCGAGGGGGCGCCGGGGCCGCUUUCGUGCCGGCUGCGCGGGGAGAUGGGGCGCACGGGCGCCCCGGGAUUGCCCAGCCCUUGAGCCUCCCCACCGGCCUCCUGGGGGCGAGCUCUCCGGCUUGGACGGAGGUCCCCUGGGGGGGCAAUCUAAAGUCUGGAGGGGGGGGAGCCUGCCGCUUCCUCCUCCUCUCCCUCCUCUCCCUCCUCAGGCGACCACCGGGAGUACGAGCGGCGGUGCAACGGGACGGUCAACGCGCUCUGCCGGUGCCGUCCGGGCUUCCUCUGUGGCGGGAAUGCGUGCGAGCGGUGCCUCUGCUCCGCGGGACAGGAGCCCACGGCGGAAGGUGCGCGGAGGACGGGGGGGAGGGCUUCCCUUGGGCUGCCCUGCCCGUGAGUACGGGGGCGGAGGGGGAAUGAAUCUGGGGGAUCCGGGAGACCCUCAAGCACCCCCCCUCCCGGUGGGCAGGACAGGCGGCUGGCGAUGUCGAUGCCCGGCGCCCUCCAAGUGAUGCCCGCCUACCUCCCGGUGGGCAGGACAGGGGGCUGGCGAUGCGGUGCCCGGCGCCCUCCAAGUGAUGCCCGCCUGUCCCUUUUGACCCCACAGGAUGCCGGAGUUGCCCUAAGGGGACCUUUAGCAACCAGAGUCACGCUCCGUGCCGCCCCUGGACACGGUAAGCGUGGUUUCCCCCACCCUUUCUCACGAUCAGAGGUUUUUGGUCUGGCCCACGGGACGAUCCCUGCUGUUGUUGAACGCACCUUCCCCGGCAGAUGCCCGGAGGGCCACAUCCUGACUCCAGGGACAGAGAAGACGGACGUGGUUUGCCGGCCGGGUCUGGAGGAACCUGGGACCACCGCGCCACCGGGGGUCCUCUCCACGCAGAUGCGUUCCGAGGAGACGGACAGCCGGCUCCUGGCGGUCAUUCUGGCCCUGCUGGGCGUCUUACUGCUCUGCUUGGUGUUCCUGCUGCUGUCCUGCGUUUUCUUCCGAUCUUGGGCCCGAGAGAAGUUCCGGAAAGGACCCCCGAAACAGCUGGCCCAGGAGGUGGAUGACUGUGUCUACCGCUACCCCGAGGAAGAAGAGGGGGAAGGCUCCGGCACCCCUUGCCUGAAGGGAGAGCUCCUUCUUGAGAAAGGGCCUUAGCUCCCUUGCCUGUUCAGAGGAGGAAGGAAAAGGGCAGGGCAGGUGGCCAGCCUGGGGCACAAAUCCCUCUGACUUGCAUUUCCUCUGAUUUCAACCCCCCAAAACUCUCCCCAUGUCCCUUGAGAGGGUUCAGCAACUGCAGACAGGUUGUAGUUCUCUAUGGGGAGAGAGGCUUUAUGCUAAAUGGGGGGGGGGUUCUGGCCCCAACCUGACCUGUCCCCUUCCCACUUUAUAAGUAGCUUUUUCCUCUUCUUAGAAUCCUAGAAUCAGAGAGUCAGAAGGGGCCUCUAAGGCCAUCAACUCCAACCCCCUGCUCGAUACAGGAAUCCCAAUCAAAGCAGAUCUGGCACUUGUUGUUUAGUCAUUUAGUUGUGUCCGACUCUUCGUGACCCCAUGGACCAGAGCACAGCAGGUCCUCCUGUCUUCC
ensembl:lncRNA